UCGCCCUUCGGAGAGGGCGCAUGAGAAACGGCUACCACAUCCAAGGAAGGCAGCAGGUGCGCAAAUUACCCACUCCCGGCACGGGGAGGUAGUGACGAAAAAUAACGAUACGGGACUCAUCCGAGGCCCCGUAAUCGGAAUGAGUACACUCUAAACCCUUUAACGAGGAUCAAUUGGAGGGCAAGUCUGGUGCCAGCAGCCGCGGUAAUUCCAGCUCCAAUAGCGUAUAUUAAAGUUGUUGCGGUUAAAAAGCUCGUAGUCGAAUUUGUGUCCCGCGCCGCCGGUUCAUCGCUCGCGGUGUUUAACUGGCGUGUCCGCGGGACGUCCCGCCGGUGGACUUAGUCCCUUCGGGGGCGGUCCAACUUGAAAUCCCACCGCGGUGCUCUUUGCCGAGUGUCGAGGUGGGCCGGCACGUUUACUUUGAACAAAUUAGAGUGCUUAAAGCAGGCUAAAACUUUGCCUGAAUACUGUGUGCAUGGAAUAAUGGAAUAGGACCUCGGUUCUAUUUUGUUGGUUUUCGGAACUCCGAGGUAAUGAUUAAUAGGAACGGAUGGGGGCAUUCGUAUUGCGACGUUAGAGGUGAAAUUCUUGGAUCGUCGCAAGACGGACAGAAGCGAAAGCAUUUGCCAAAAACGCUUUCAUUGAUCAAGAACGAAAGUUAGAGGUUCGAAGGCGAUCAGAUACCGCCCUAGUUCUAACCAUAAACGAUGCCAGCUAGCGAUCCGCCGACGUUCCUCCGAUGACUCGGCGGGCAGCUUCCGGGAAGCCAAAGCUUUUGGGUUCCGGGGGAAGUAUGG
rnacentral:rRNA from 1 species